UAAAUGACUCUCGGCAACGGAUAUCUCGGCUCACGCAUCGAUGAAGAACGUAGCAAAAUGCGAUACUUGGUGUGAAUUGCAGAAUCCCGUGAACCAUCGAGUUUUUGAACGCAAGUUGCGCCCGAAGCCUUCUGGCUGAGGGCACGUCUGCCUGGGCGUCACGC
rnacentral:rRNA from 1 species